rnacentral:tRNA from 1 species
UGUCCAAUGCGGGAAUCGAACCCGGGUCCUAGUGGUCGAAAGCCAAACGGUUUAACCAGCCUUCGACCGAC